CUCGCCGACUCCAUGUGGAGUUGGAAAUUUCACCAUUUGGUGAUAGGUCGACACUAUAGCUCGGAGAGUGUUUAGUCCAGACCGACCUAAAAUGACAUUAUAUAUAGAUGGGCUCUUGACUAUGAAGUAAUUUAUUUUUAUAACAGCUUGUUUUGAGGCUCAUCCGAUUAUGGUGAUCAAAGGGAUAGUUCCUUCUAUCGGGACCAUAGUAUUUGAGAAUCCAAUCAGAGGUGUAUUCUGCUUUGUCAGCAGCUCAGAACACAUGUUCAUAUGAAUAAAAGAAUCAUAAAACAAGAUAUCGAUUGAACUUUCAUUAUCAACUAGAACCCGAUGUACAUCAUAAUUAGCAAUAUUUAAAGAAACAACCAUGGGGUCAUCAUGUGGGCACUUUAUUCCAUCUAGGUCAGCUUUAGAGAAAGUAACUUCAUCACCGACCUUCAUUUUCUUUGGCUGCUUAUCUUUAGCUCGGC
rnacentral:lncRNA from 1 species